AAAUACAUUUCCAUUUUUUUUUUUUUUUUGAGACAGAGUUUCGCUCUUGUCCCAAAAUACUGGGAUUACAACAGGCAUGAGCCACCACGCCUGGCCUCUAUUAUGUCUUGUUAAAGCCAUUAUUUGGUUUUUGGUCUCAUACAGCUGAACUGAAUAUUAACCAAUAAAUAGAGGAAAUAAGAAUCUUUUGUGUUAGAAGAUGUGGAUCAAGGUCUGUAAUAGAAGUGGGGUUCCCUGCCAGGCAUGGCAGCUCAUGCCUGUAAUCCCAACACUUUGGGAAGCUGAGGCAGGAGGAUCACCUGAGGUCAGGAGUUCGAGACCAGCCUGGCCAACAUGGUGAAACCCCACCUCUGCUAAAUUACAAAAAUUAGCCGGGUGUGG
rnacentral:lncRNA from 1 species